rnacentral:rRNA from 1 species
AGAGUUUGAUCCUGGCUCAGGACGAACGCUGGCGGCGUGCCUAACACAUGCAAGUCGCACGAGAAAGGGUAGCAAUACCUGAGUAAAGUGGCGCACGGGUGAGUAACACGUGACUAAUCUACCCUCGAGUGGGGAAUAACUGAGAGAAAUCUUAGCUAAUACCGCAUAACACUUACGAGUCAAAGCAGCAAUGCGCUUGG